rnacentral:pre_miRNA from 1 species
AAAAAGACAAACUCUGAUUUUCGUGUCCAACGUUUGACCGUCCGUCUCAUUUAAAAAAAUUAUGAAAAAAAAUAAAAAGAUAAGUGACGCAUAAAGUAUUAAUCAUGUUUUAUCAUCUAACAACAAUGAAAAUACUAAUUAUAAAUUUUUUUUAUAUAAGACGGACAGUCAAAUAUUGGCACGGAAACCCAUAGUUUGUCUUUUU